GAAUCUUUCCCCUCUCCCUGCAUGGUUCUGCCCAUGCGAUUGUGACACUUGGUGCUGGCACGGUGACAGGGAGCAGAGCUACAGCCACAGCUGGGAUAUGGGCUGCCUGCACAGAGCAUGGUUACUCAUCUGACCUCUUAAAAGAAUGAAAAAUUCUGCAGCCCAAGUAAGGCAGAAUGUCAAAAUGAGCAGAGACGUAACUUUUGAAAGUGGUGAAACUCGCAGAAUGUGUGCAUGCUGAAUCUGCUCCCAAACACUGCUGGAUCAGCAGCUUGGAGACAAAGAACAACCAAGAGCCCUCCUGUAUGGUAAUGGAGCUCUACAUCUGUGCACCUGAAUCAAGCUUCUAAUUCUGGACUUCUAAACUCUUCCUGUGUACAAGUGCCAAGAAAAGCACUUAAAAGUGAUGACUCUCGUUAGAGCCCCACCGGAGCUCCAGGACCUGUCAUUUCACAUGGUGCAGCAGCUGUAAACAAUCAGGUUUAAAAGACCUGAUUUCUUUGUGGAUCCAAGUUCAUUUUUGAAAUCCAUUACACUCUGGCCAGCCUCAGCCUAUUUCUGCUGAUUCUGAAUUGAAUUCUGCUGUUCUGUGUCCACAUGAGAACUACUGCAAAGGCAAUUUGUUUGAGUUUCAACCUUGAACAUAGUUUG